GGUCAAGAGAUCGAGACCAUCCUGGUCAACAGGGUGAAACCCGUCUCUACUAAAAAUACAAAAAAUUAGCUGGGCAUGGUGGUGCGUGCCUGUAAUCCCAGCUACUCAGGAGGCUGAGGCAGGAGAGUUGCCUGAACCCAGGAGGUGGAGGUUGUAGUGAGCCGAGAUCAUGCCAUUGCACUCCAGCCUGGGUAACGAGUGAAACUCCGUCUCAAAAAAAAAAAAGGAGUAUGGCUGCGGCACUUCGUCCUUCCAGUGGAGUUCUCCUGCAGGCCCUGCAGAUUUCGGUGUAUCCUGGAGUGGGAGGCUCCGGCUCUGCAGAUACCUACUUACAGAUAACAUUGUGAAACUAAAAGAAUUUCAGCAUAAGAAAGUGGCCAUUGCAUGUAAUCUUCCUGGCACUAAAGAAACCUAUUUUAGAAACUUGGAAGAGAAACUGAGCCAGAACAAGCUCAUCUUGAAGGAGGAGUUGAUAACCUUACUUCAUUUGUGUGAGUCCCGGGACCAUGUGGAGCUGGCUAAAAAUGUCAUUUACAGGUACCAUGCAGAGAACAGAAAUAUCACUCGGGGGGAGUAUAAGUUCGGACCACUUUUCAUGAGGCUGUGUUACGAGUUGGAUCUUGAGGAAUCUGCAGUGGAGCUCAUGAAAGACCAGGUGCUUUGGAAGUCUUGAUAGAGAUGAAAAACCAAGAUGUGAAGUUCACUGUAGAUACCUAUGUUCUUGCUUUUGCAAUUUGCUAUAAACUGAAUAGCCCUGAGUCUUUUAAAAUCUGUACUACAUUAAGAGAAGAAGCCCUACUCAAAGGAGAAAUUCUCUCCAGGAGAGCAUCCUGUUUCGCUGUGGCAUUAGCUCUGAAUCAGAAUGAGGUAGCACAAGCUAUGUCCAUUUUUUCUCAAAUCAUGAAUUCAGAAAGCAUAACCUGCACUAAUUUAAAUAUUAUACUCCAUAUCCAGUUAAAUAUGUUGGAAAACGUGAUAGAGAUACUAAAAAAUGCUACAGAAGGAAAUUUAUCAAAAUAUGUGAAGAGACAGGUGUUCUCAGAGGAAGUGCUGGCCAAAGUGAGGGAAAAAGUGAAGGAUGUGCCUGCCCUUGUGGCCAAAUUUGAUGAGCUCUAUGGGAAACUGCACGUCAGUGGCCAAGUCACCACUUAUUCUUUGGAUGCUGUGCUCUGCCACAUCCCUGGGGGCAGGAAAUCCCACAUGUUUCUAUUAAACAAGAGAAUGGUCAGCCGUCACACCUUCCAGCCACUCGGCCAGUCCCUGUUUGCUAAGUAAUCCUGGUUUCAGUCCAUCUAUGGAUCUGAAGGGCCUGCUUCUAGUGUUAUUGCCUUUCCUAAGAAGCCAGGCAUUGCACUUCAGCAGACACUGUGCUGACACUUGGUCUUCUGAAAUUCCCAAGUUCACUGAAUGGCGGCAUGCCAAUCUCUGAGAAGUUAUGUUGCACCACUGUGAAGGUCUAGAUGCAAGCUUGUCUCCCUCAGAAAGGUGCUUCCCUUGUGCACUGCUGAGGAUUCUUGAAGGAACAUGGACAGUCUCUAAUCCAGCUUCCGGCACCAGAGUGAAACCCAGUAAGCACCAUCAGGAAUGAAUUUCACUAUAAGUGUGGUCAACUCUGAUUUUCAAGGGAGUAGUUACUUGCAAAUUACAUCCUUGCUGGAUUCAGGAGGUCUGAAACCCUAUUCUACCAUGUUAGAAAACAGCCCAGGAUUUUCUCAUUGCUCUGCCAUCAUAUAUGUCUAUGACUUGAGCCCUCAUUUUUCCAUCUGCAAAACAAUAAUGCCUAUGUGUAUUUGCAUACAGAUUUGAAAUCUUCAUUCAAGUUUCAGUAGGAUCAGAUUUUCUCAAAAAUAAAUAAGGUUCAGAAGCAGA